AAUGGGCGGAAGCCUGAUGCAGCGACGCCGCGUGGGGGAUGACGGCCUUCGGGUUGUAAACUCCUUUCACCAUCGACGAAGGUUUUCUGACGGUAGAUGGAGAAGAAGCACCGGCUAACUACGUGCCAGCAGCCGCGGUAAUACGUAGGGUGCGAGCGUUGUCCGGAAUUACUGGGCGUAAAGAGCUCGUAGGUGGUUUGUCGCGUCGUCUGUGAAAUUCCGGGGCUUAACUCCGGGCGUGCAGGCGAUACGGGCAUAACUUGAGUACUGUAGGGGAGACUGGAAUUCCUGGUGUAGCGGUGAAAUGCGCAGAUAUCAGGAGGAACACCGGUGGCGAAGGCGGGUCUCUGGGCAGUAACUGACGCUGAGGAGCGAAAGCAUGGGUAGCGAA
rnacentral:rRNA from 1 species